GACGAACGCUGGCGGCGUGCUUAACACAUGCAAGUCGAACGAAGUGGCGAACGGGUGAGUAACGCGUAAUCAACCUGCCCUUCAGAGGGGGACAACAGUUGGAAACGACUGCUAAUACCGCAUACUGAAGGUGGGGUUUGCGUCGGAUUAGGUAGUUGGGGGGGUAACGGCCCACCAAGGCGAUGAUCAGUAGGCGGGGUGGGAGGAUGAACGGCAAAAUUGGGAAUGGGGAAAGGGCCAGACUGCCACGGGAGGGAGGAGUGGGGGAUGUUCCGGAAAGGACGAAAGUCUGAAGGAGCAAAGGCGGGGGAGGGAUGACGGGGUGCGGGUUGUAAAGCUCUGUUAAGCGGGACGCGGUACCGGAAUAGAAAGCAACGGCUAACUACGUGCCAGCAGCCGCGGUAAUUC
rnacentral:rRNA from 1 species